rnacentral:rRNA from 1 species
UACAGAGGGUGCAAGCGUUGUUCGGAAUUACUGGGCGUAAAGCGCGUGUAGGCUGCGGAGUAAGUCGGAUGUGAAAUCCCUUGGCUUAACCAAGGAAGUGCAUCCGAUACUGUUUCGCUUGAGUGUCGGAGGGGAUGGCGGAAUUCCCGGUGUAGAGGUGAAAUUCGUAGAUAUCGGGAGGAACACCUGUGGCGAAGGCGGCCAUCUGGACGACAACUGACGCUGAGACGCGAAAGCGUGGGUAGCAAACAGG